rnacentral:rRNA from 1 species
UUGGAGGGCAAGUCUGGUGCCAGCAGCCGCGGUAAUUCCAGCUCCAAUAGCGUAUAUUAAAGUUGUUGCAGUUAAAAAGCUCGUAGUUGAAUUUCGAGAUCGGCUUACUGGUCGUGCUUUUGUACGUACUGGUAUAAUCGGUUUCUCCUUUCUGACGAACUUUAAUGCCAUUAAUUUGGUGUUUUAGGGAAUCAGGACUGUUACUUUGAAAAAAUUAGAGUGUUUAAAGCAGGC